GAAUGUCAGGUACAACAGAGACAGCUGUUUGUCCCCCAAUAUCCUUCAGACAAAGCCAUAUAUGAUUGAAGGUUAUCAGUACUGUGCUUUUGGAGGAUUCAGAAGAAGAAGUUAUAUCUGAUUGGGAGAUUGAAAAGGAUUGGCCUGAAGGAGAGGUGGUUUUUGAACUGCAUCUUAAAGGAUGAGGAAACUGAGGCUGAGAGGGUAGAGAACUUUGCCUGAGGUCACUCAGCAGGGACCCACCCAUCACAGUAAAUGCCAGCACUGCUGAUGCCAAAACAAUGUUAUUUGUAGGCCCUCGGAAUUUGUGACCUGAAGGAAGAAGAGCAGGGCCGUGGGAAUGCCUGCACGUCCCCUCGCCACAAUGUCAUGUGCCACCUCUUCAAAGGAGGGAUGUACCAGCUAGUGGACGUGACCUUGACUGCAAAGGGCGGCGCGCAGCUGAUGUAAUGGUCGCUUAAGUGUUCACAAAUCUGCCUGGCACAGUGGCUCACAUCUGUAGUCCCAGCACUUUGGGAGGCCAAGGCAGGUGGAUCACUUGAGGCCAGGAAUUCAAGACCAGCAUGGCCAACAUGUGCUGGGAGAGAAAAGCAUACGACAUAAACAGGGAGGUCAAGCUCCACCACGCAGAUGAGGUGCAGGCCACCAGGCUUCCUCUGCCACAUCUCUUUCUGAAAAGGACUUCACAUUCACCCUUGCAAUCCAUGUGGGGACACUGUUGGAUAGGAGGCGUGGUCCCAGUGUGGUCUCCCUGUCUGGGCCUCUGCCUAUGCCAAAUGUUUGCCUUACGCUGCACACUCAAGAGGUUCCAUGUAUACAGAUGGGAAUUCCAGAGCUACAGAAAAGGCAGCAAGCACCAUGAUUCAAGCUAAUCGGUGUGGAUUCACACCUUCCUCUCUCUCUGUCAGUGGCAGAACUACCAGCUAGAGUAAGAAGUGGUUGAUCCAGGACCUAAACAUUCUGGAAACUCUUGCCCACUUCUGGGAGAAAUGACCCAAUCCGUAGUACUAAGCACACCUUAACUUUCGUAGGACGCAGGCAAGUUGUCAUACCGUGUGCCUAAAUAUAGAAAAAUGAUCGACUGGACUAAUAAAGUGUUAAAUAAAAUA